AGGGUUUGAUUCUGGCUCAGGAUGAACGCUGGCGGCGUGCCUAAUACAUGCAAGUCGAACGCACAGCGAAAGGUGCUUGCACCUUUCAAGUGAGUGGCGAACGGGUGAGUAACACGUGGAUAACCUACCUCAAGGUUGGGGAUAACAUUUGGAAACAGAUGCUAAUACCGAAUAAAACUUCGUAUCGCAUGAUACAAGGUUAAAAGGCGCUACGGCGUCACCUAGAGAUGGAUCCGCGGUGCAUUAGUUAGUUGGUGGGGUAAAGGCCUACCAAGACAAUGAUGCAUAGCCGAGUUGAGAGACUGAUCGGCCACAUUGGGACUGAGACACGGCCCAA
rnacentral:rRNA from 1 species